rnacentral:rRNA from 1 species
AUUGGACGCUGGCGGCAGGCCUAACACACGCAAGUCGAGCGGUAGCACAGAGAGCUUGCUCUCGGGUGACGAGCGGCGGACGGGUGAGUAAUGUCUGGGAAACUGCCUGAUGGAGGGGGAUAACUACUGGAAACGGUAGCUAAUACCGCAUAACGUCGCAAGACCAAAGUGGGGGACCUUCGGGCCUCAUGCCAUCAGAUGUGCCCAGAUGGGAUUAGCUUGUAGGUGAGGUAACGGCUCACCUAGGCGACGAUCCCUAGCUGGUCUGAGAGGAUGACCAGCCACACUGGAACUGAGACACGGUCCAGACUCCUACGGGAGGCAGCAGUGGGGGAUAUUGCACAAUGGGCGCAAGCCUGAUGCAGCCAUGCCGCGUGUGUGAAGAAGGCCUUCGGGUUGUAAAGCACUUUCAGCGGGGAGGAAGGCGAUAAGGUUAAUAACCUUGUCGAUUGACGUUACCCGCAGAAGAAGCACCGGCUAACUCCGUGCCAGCCGCCGCUGUAAGAC